rnacentral:rRNA from 1 species
UACGAAGGGGGCUAGCGUUGCUCGGAAUCACUGGGCGUAAAGCGCACGUAGGCGGAUUGUUAAGUCAGGGGUGAAAUCCUGGAGCUCAACUCCAGAACUGCCUUUGAUACUGGCGAUCUUGAGUCCGGAAGAGGUGAGUGGAACUGCGAGUGUAGAGGUGAAAUUCGUAGAUAUUCGCAAGAACACCAGUGGCGAAGGCGGCUCACUGGCCCGGUACUGACGCUGAGGUGCGAAAGCGUGGGGAGCAAACAGG